UACGUAGGGUGCAAGCGUUGUCCGGAAUUAUUGGGCGUAAAGAGCUCGUAGGCGGUCUGUUGCGUCGGCUGUGAAAACCCGGGGCUCAACCCCGGGCCUGCAGCCGAUACGGGCAGACUAGAGUUCGGCAGGGGAGACUGGAAUUCCUGGUGUAGCGGUGAAAUGCGCAGGAUAUCAGGAGGAACACCGAUGGCGAAGGCAGGUCUCUGGGCAUUAACUGACGCUGAGGAGCGAAAGCAUGGGGAGCGAACAGG
rnacentral:rRNA from 1 species